UAUUUGAAAGAGUUCAAAGCUUUUUUCUCAUCUAGAAAAAAAAUUACUCCCCAGGAAUGCAAAUUGACCAGGUAACUCAUCACCUCAUUACACAAAAAUCCUUAAUUUAACUAAUUGCAAACAGACAAACCUGACACAAAAUUGGCCACCUGUCUCCUAAGCUAAAUUUCCCAGAAAAGCACAGGGUCUAAGGUCAAAGUACAUACCCCUUCCCAGAUAUAAAAGCUCCACCCAAGCUACUUUCCAUCAGAGGAAGUGCUUCCUAGAAGAAGGAUGGUCAACUCAAGAAACAGUAUAACAGCUGCUCCCUCACAAUGGCAUAUUUAAUCAACUUCAGCAACACAAUAAAGCAGUCCAGAAGAGAAGAAAGAGGUUGCAUGGGUUCCAGCUGGUGAUUUCUGCGAGCAAGAGGAGGAAAGACGAUAUCACAGUGAUUUCGGAUCAGCAGACUGUAUAGAGUUCAUGAACAAAGGACUUGACUGUGAGUAGGUUGCCCCUGUGCAAUCCUUGCCGAAAAUCCUCAAAGACCAAAUUCUGGGGUCUAUGUGAUUGGUGUUGUGUUGGAGCACUAAGAGAUGGAUGAUGUGGCAGGGUGGACAGUGGAGAAGAGGAGGAGUUACCAAUCCAGAGGCCUGACUGACAUGCCUGGAUAGCCUGCACAUGGCUGACUCUGUCUAGAUGUGUGCUCUGAACAAGGACUGACAUAGUGUUUGUGGCCAGGCAGUCUACUGCUAGCAGGCGAAGGAGAGACCGCUCCUCAAUUGCCCUCUAGUGCAGGGGAAAGAACUCCAUUUUGCCUCUUGACCAGAGGAUCCCAGCUCAUCUCCCUCUGCUACUUGUUACUGAAACAGUUCGGUUGUCAAAAGCUUCAGCUAUGGAGAAGCCAGUCCAUCACUAGCCGUAAGCUGGGCCCAGCAUGGAGACAGAAACCACAGGCUCCAUAUCCGCAGGGAGAGAUGCAUCAGCCUGCUUCACUUUGUUAGGCCUCCCUUACUCCGGAAGCUGAGGGAAGGGAAAGGUGUGAGCAACCUGGAGCCUACUGAGCCCAGUUAGGGAUGUGCCUUGCAGUGAAAUGCCUUAGAGCGAGUGCUGAUGAUUCCUUACGUAGCUAGUUAGCUAAGACUCAGAGGGGAGGAGCUCCAGGUCAGUAGGUGUUCAUCCAGGUGAAGGCUGACCUAUUGUUGAAGGAGUGUGUUGCCACCGUACACAAGCAGUAAUCAGGCCUGCAAAGUCUAUUUGAUUAUUUUAUGGUUCCAUUUUACCUGUAAAGCUCCAAACCAAAAAACUGUGCACACAGACCACCCAGGACUUGUGGACAGAGUCUGGACUUGCACCCACUUGCCUUUGUAUUAUGUGUGGGGUUUCGAUUACAUUUAAUUAUUAAAAUGGAUGUUUUUAU